GCGACGCGCCCUCGGGCGUGUCUCCUCCCUGAACCUUGGCCACCUCGUGGGUAACCACGGGGUGGUUUUUUUAUGGGCG
rnacentral:sRNA from 1 species